rnacentral:rRNA from 1 species
AAUGAACGCUGGCGGCGUGCUUAACACAUGCAAGUCGAACGAGAACGGCUCUAGCUUGCUAGAGUGUCAGCUAAGUGGCGCACGGGUGAGUAAUGUAUAGGUAACCUGCCCCGAAGAGCGGGAUAACGUCUGGAAACGGACGCUAAUACUGCAUAUACCUUUUCUUCAUAAGGAGAAAAGGGAAAUGAAUUUCGCUUCGGGAUGGGCCUUUAUCGCAUCAGCUAGUUGGUAAGGUAACGGCUUACCAAGGCUAUGACGCGUAGCUGAUCUGAGAGGAUGAUCAGCCACACUGGUACUGAGACACGGACCAG